rnacentral:tRNA from 1 species
GUUUCUGGUGUGCUCUGCGGUCUUCAAAACCGUUGUGAGAGGAGUUCCUCUUAGGUGGGUUCGAUUCCCACUCGUC